rnacentral:lncRNA from 1 species
AAACAUGUGAGGUAGGCUUUAUAAUUAAUAAGUCUUGGAUUGUACCCUUUCAGGUAAUGUUUUUACACGACUGAUGUUAAGCUUCGUUCAUGUCAAUGACUCAUUACUAUUUGCUUUGGAGAAUAUAGUAUGCAUGCAUUGAUUGUUAAAUUAAGAUUAUUGCAAGUAUAGAAUUAAGAAGAGAUCCAUGAAAAGAAGAUGAAGCUAACUUAAUUAGUUUAUUCAGAUAGCAUAAUGCUUUUAAUGUCAAACUUUGGAGCUUCGAAUUGAU